GAAGUGGUUUCUAACUAAAAGAGAGGAAAUUUAGACUGGAUAUAAAGAAGAUUGUUUUGUGUUUUUUUUAAUAGUAAAGUUGGUGAGGCUUAGGAGCCGAUUAUCUGGAAGACGGUGGAUGCUUCAACCCUGGAGACAUUCAAGCUGUUUGCAGUGCACCCUAGUGCAGCCAAGUCUUCUUGAUUAGUAUAUCUGAAAACUGAGUUCUGAGUUGGUGUGGGUACACAAGUUCUAGUAGGGGAAAAUCAGUGAUGAAACAUAGGAUGAUAUUGCAGCCAGCUGAAUGGAUCUACUUCUUGUCUCUGUUUUUAUCUUGGUCUUAGGAAUGACAUAUUUUAUGAAGGUGGGUUUUAAUUAUUAUUUAUAUGUCUCUUUUCUAUAAAUAUUAUUUCUCUCUUACUCAUACUGUAUUAUUUCUCUCAUUUUAGGAGUUUAGGUAGAUCUACAAGAAAACUUUGUAUGCAACAGUAUUUUCAAAAGGAUUCAUCUGUUGUUUUUCCUUGUCCCAACCAAAUAACAGUAAAACAUUCACUUACAAAUGAAUAAGGUGCUUUCUGGACACACACAUGUCUACUGAAAUGCACUUGACAACCAAGUAUUUGCUACAUGAGA